UUGGUAAACUUUGUUUAACAUACGGAUUUUAAUUAGUCCAAAGUUGAAAAAAUGUCGAAAUUAAGUGCGUCGCAAUCAAACAUAUUGCAUUGCUUUGAAAUUGAGUAUCCUCGCGGUUACUUCAACGUCAGUCCUGCUGUAUCAAUUAACGUAUAAUUUUAACUAUCAAAGUGCAAAAUAUUAUGUCAAGAAAUAUAAACAAAAUAGCCGACUUAAUUGAACUUUGUGGCCUUUUUUAUGAAAACAUAUUAUUUGUCAGCACGCCAAAGCUGUGACGCUAGCCAAUCACACGGCGCGUAAUUUGUUCUACAUUCCAAGGUUGUGACGCUGGCCAAUCAGUUUUCAUGUACUCUCUUUGAAUCACGAUAUGGCGCGCAAGCAUAUGACCGUUACAUAUUUCGACAUCAUACUGCAGUUGUGUGGACGUGUAGCGUGCAGCCGACAUCAUUUUACUCAAAUAACAGAAGAGUUUACAAGACCUCACAGAUGACGAAACCCCACUCAGCAAUGAUUCAUACAGGAAUUGAGGAGGAGCCAAAGUCAGCAUGGAUUGUCGAACCAGUAUGGAGGAGUUAUGUAUGACUUUCGAAGAUGCUUCAGUUUGAAAUCUUUCGGACAGUACUCGCAGUGCCGUAGCUGGUGCAUGACCAAGUGAUUGAAGACAGUUCAACAAUGAUGGGCAGAGUGGAACUGAAAAAAAGCAGAUGAGGAGACGGACCUUUUCAGUUUCGCAGCGAGGUCUAGUAACUUCGUAAUCGGGCAAGGUGAUGGAUGUUGCUGCUUGUUGAGUUUUUCAUCUCCUGUCAAGUUUGCGCCUGAAAGAAGAGGUGAUGGAGGGACACACUGAGGGCCCAUGCACCUUCACAUUCAGUCGUACCUUUGGACUGUGUUAAAUAUUUCAAUAUUGGAACAGUUGAUUAAUAGUAAUUGUU